GACGAACGCUGGCGGCGUGCUUAACACAUGCAAGUCGAACGAUGAGGCCCAGCUUGCUGGGUGGAUUAGUGGCGAACGGGUGAGUAACACGUGAGCAACCUGCCCUGGACUCUGGGAUAAGCGUUGGAAACGACGUCUAAUACCGGAUAGGGCCUUUCCUCGCAUGAGGUUUGGUGGAAAGUUUUUCGGUUUGGGAUGGACUCGCGGCCUAUCAGCUAGUUGGCGGGGGAAAGGCCCACCAAGGCUACGACGGGUAGCUGGUCUUAGAGGACGACCAGCCACACUGGAACUGAGACACGGUCCAGACACCUACGGGUGGCAGCAGUCGAGAAUCUUUCACAAUGGGGGCAACCCUGAUGGAGCGACGCCGCGUGGAGGAUAAGGUCUUCGGAUUGUAAACUCCUGUCAUGCGCGAACAAGGUUGCUGGGUUAAUAACCCGGCAAAUUGAUGGUACCGCAAGAGGAAGAGACGGCUAACUCUGUGCCAGCCGCCGCUGUAAGAC
rnacentral:rRNA from 1 species